UAGUGUCUGAACGAAAGGGGAUGGAUCCCGCAAGGGAAGCCUGCACAGGUGCUGCAUGGCUGCUCCUCUGCUCGUGCCGUGAGGUGUUGGGUUAAGUCCCGCAACGAGCGCAACCCCUAUCUUCUGUUUGCUACCAGGUGAUGCUGAGCACUCUGAAGAAACUGCCUCGGAUAACGAGGAGGAAGGUGGGGAUGACGUCAAGUCAUCAUGGCCUUUAUGUCCAGGGCUACACACGUGCUACAAUGGCCGGUACAGAGGGUCGCAAACCCGUAAGGGGGAGCCAAUCCCAUAAAGCCGGUCUCAGUUCGGAUCGAGGUCUGCAAUUCGACCUCGUGAAGUAGGAAUCGCUAGUAAUCGCGCAUCAGCACGGCGCGGUGAAUACGUUCCCGGGCCUUGUACACACCGCCCGUCACACCACGAAAGCCCGUUGUACCAGAAGUUGCUGAGCCAACCCGCAAGGGAAGCAGGCACCCAAGGUAUGGCUGGUGAUUGGGGUGAAGUCGUCGUAAC
rnacentral:rRNA from 1 species